GUGUGUGUGUGUGUGUGUGUGUGUUAUGGGUGAGGAAGGGCGGGGGAGAGAGACAUCAGACUCUAUACCACUAACGCUGAGUGUUCCAGUCCUGUUGCUGUUGGCAACACCACUGGUGCUGCUGCUCAUGAACAUAUUAGCAAUGCUAAAAUGCACUAAAGUUCAGGUAGCAGUGUACAGAGAUGGCAUUGUUGAACAAUAUAAACUACAUAACCAAACAAUUUAUGCAUAGCAAUAUCCUCUGAUGUUCAUCUGCAAUAGUCUGUUUUGUGUCAUAGAAAAACGCAGGCCCGAAUAGCCAUGGGUUGCAGUGCAGUGGCAUAACGUUCAGAUCAUUUCUGUGUGGUUAUUUAAGCAAAAACACUCAUAGAAAUAUCCAGUACGCUCGAGAGUAGCUUACACAAUUAUACAAAUAAUGUCGACUUCUCCGUCUCCAGCAGAAUAUAUCAAAGCACAUAUUUGGCAGUUGAAGAAAUGAAGUCCUUGUACUUGUUUUUCUUUCCCCCCCCUUAUUUUUUCAUAAAAAGUCUCAUUCCUCACCACAGGGAAACUCUCUUUACCGCUCAGCGCUUCCUAUGUGGAGGGAUGGCGUGUCAUACGGAGCUUUCAUGUGUGCGUACGUCCAAACAUCUGUUCCAACCCCCUCGCUUCAGUAAACAUUACACUCCAUCUUUUUUUUUCUUUGGAGGAUCACUUGCAUAAUUUUUCUCCCCGGCCUGUGCGGAUCAAAGCUGCCACUGUGACGUCUCCCCCGGUCGCGAUCACGGCGCGCUGAACACGUCUCCGCAGCAGUUUUGAAGUUGGAUGGUCGCUCCGCGUCUGUCUUAAUCUUUUUCUACACGUGUUCGUUGUCACCCGGGGACACAUUUCGGAUGUAAAUGUGUGUUUCAUCCUAACUUUGAGCUAGAUGUUUAGUUGAGGUGCUAUGAUCUAGUGGGCUGCUUUAGGUAGUGCCUACUUAUGACCAGUUUUGGUUAAAAUAUUUGUCAUCUGUCUAAACUCUGGAUUCAAAAGCAAAGGGGGUUGAAUGCUGACGCAAGUGAAAUAUUUCAAUUUUUGUUUUAAUGUUUUAAUUUAUUCAUUUUUAAUGUUUGCUGACAAAUAGUGUAUUUUGCCUUUGGAAAUAUACUACAACAAACAUGUUCACGAUAAAAAAAUACUGAUUGGGAAAAU
ensembl:lncRNA